GACAGCAUCCUCGUGACAGCAUCCUGACUCUUGCUUGACCAGAUGUGUAUGAGUCAAGCCCUUGCUCUUCUGCUCCUCACAUCGCAGGGGGUGUGGCUUAGCUGCUGACCCAGAAGGAUAUAGACAAGGGGCUAGCAUGGCUGUCCCCAGUAACUGACUCCGACAGAUAAAGAGACUCACAGUCAAGCAUUGGAUGAAACUUGAGGACUCUUAUGGAAGAGUUGGGGGAAGGACUGAGAGCCCGAAGAAGAUAGAAACUCCACAGGAAGACCAACAGAGUCAACUAAUCUGGAGCCUUGAGGGCUCUCAGAAACUAAACCACCAACCAAAGAGCACACACAGGCUAAACCUAGGUACCCUCCCCCCCCCCCACACACACACACGUGGGUACCAAACAACUCAAAUGGGGACUGUCCUUAAAACUGUUGCCUGUCUGUGAAAUUCAUUCCCCUAACUUAGCUCUCUUGUCUGGCCUCAGUGGAAGAAGUGCCUAGUCCUGCAGAGACUUGAUGUGCCAGGGUGUGGGAAUACCCAGGAAAUGCCUCCACCCUCUUGGAGAAGAAGGAGAGGCGGUAUGGAGGAAGGAACUUGGGGAGGGAUGGGGAAGGUGGACAGCAAUAGGGUUGUAAAGUGAAUUUUUUUUUUUUAAAAAAGUGUGUUUUAGCAAAUUCAAUCAGGAAACGGUAUAUGGGAUAUAUUUGCUAUCUAGGAUUAUC
rnacentral:lncRNA from 1 species